CUGACCCUGCAGCGCCCACGGGCGACGCCGAGCGUAGCCACCCCGCAGCCCCGCACCCCCGGGGCCCCACGCGCAGUUUUGGGGAGUGCCCGCGACCUGCGGAGGGCCCGGCCCCACGCCUCUGCGGGGCAGCCCCAGCACAGGCAGGGCGUCGCUUCGCGAUUGCCCUUUCAGGCUUUAUUUCCCCGCCAUCGCCGGCACGGCCAGGCCCCCACCCCAAACCCCCGAGCCGAAGCACCCCCGCGGGUAGCCGGGCCCAGCCACCCGGAAAACAAGAAAACCAAAGAGGGAACAAGACAGAGAACGUGGGGAAAGGCAAGGAGAAGGACGCAGAAACAGAGAGCGCGCGCGAGGGAUAGGGAGCAGGACAGAGAGAUGGAGAAAGAAAGGAAAAAAAGACGGGAGGCAGAACCAAGGGAAAGAGAGACAAGGACGGGGAGCAGGACAAAGGGACGGAAGAGAAAAAAAAAAAUCGCGACGGGCUGCAGGACAGAGAUGAAGGGAUUAAAUAGACACAGGGAGCACGACGGAAGGACAGAGAGAGACAAAAGGGACAAAGAGCAGGCCAGCAUCGGAGGAGAAAAAACCAACUGCGACGGGCAGUGGGAGAGAGAUACGGGAAAAGAAAAAAGUACUGAGGAACAGAAAAAAGAAAGAAGAGACAGCUAGCUGGACAGGGGGACACAGUUAGAAAGGACGGGAGAGGGAAUGGGGCAGAGAGAGACAGACAGAAAAGGGAGCGAAAGAAAGCAAGGCAGAGGGACAGCAGGGCGGGAUGGGGGGGAAGGGACAGGGGUCUGGACAGAGAUGGAGAAAUAAGCAGCAGGGACAGAGGAAAAGAGACAGAAAGAGGGACAGGGAACAUGGCAGAGAAGGACAAAUCAGGACAGCGGCAGGACGCAGAUAAAAAACGGGGACGGUCCUCAGGACAGAGAGGAAUAGAAUACAAGCAGGGAGCGGGACAAAGGGAUACAGCGAGAAACGACGGGACAGGAAGCAAGACAGAGCGACAGACAAGAACAAUGACAACGAGAGCGCGCGCCCCAGAGAGAGAGCCAGAGACCGCGAGAAGCACAGGGGGUUGGGGAAUUUAGAAAGAGAAGUAUCAGGAGCCCUGCAGAGAGAGGGAGGGUGAAUAAAAAAGGGGCAGGAAGCAGCACAAAGGGUCAGAGAGAGCAAGAGAUGAACAGGAAGGAGGACGGGGACAGUGAGAUCCAGAAUGACAAAAAAUAAACAGCAACAGCGAGCAAGACAAAGGGAUAGAGAGAGAAAGAGAAAGUAGGAAGACGAGAGAUAGGAAGGCAGGGACACAGAGCGGCACGUACAGGCGCAGAGAGGAAAAGAACACCAGGGAACGGGCCAGAGAAAUUGGGAGGCGGGGAAAGAGGCGGAUGCAGAUCAGGACAAGGAGACCGAAAAGGAAAAAACAGGGACUGGCUGCAGGACAAAGAGUGGGGGGGGGGGGGCGGGGGAGAGGAAGAGGGAGCAGGACAAGAGAAUAGCCAGAAGAGGAGAGGUACAGGGAAGCAAAAAAAAAAAAAAAAAAAAAAAACCAAAAAAAAAACCCCAA